rnacentral:lncRNA from 1 species
GAUAUUUAAAUUUACGCUAUCGGCAAUUACUAGCUACUGAGAUACUAGUUUAUUGUAUUGUAUUGGACAAUGGACAAUAUGAAUAACAAGUCAACAAGAAAACCCAAAAAAAAAUUAUAUAUAACAUCCUAUGGAAAUGCAUGCUAGUGACGUUGGAAUAUAGUAAUAUACCAAGUCUAUCGUUGCAAGUAAAACCGUGUGAAAAAGGUCAACUGGAAUUUAAUAUUUACAAAAUAUUUAUCGGUCAUUUCGUAUUCUCAACCUAUGAAGUUGGGCGACAAAAAAAAA